CAAGUCGUACGGUAAGCUUCGGCUUAUAGUGGCGAAAGGGAGAGUAACGCGUGGUUACAUGCCCUCGGGACCGGGAUAGCGGCGGGAAACUGCCGGUAAUACCGGAUAAUAUCUUUGGAUCAAAGGUGUGAUUCCGCCCGAGGAUUGGACCGCGUUCUAUUAGCUUGUUGGCGGGGUAAUGGCCCACCAAGGCGACGAUGGAUACCGGGUGUGAGAGCAUGGCCCGGCUCACUGGGACUGAGACACUGCCCAGACACCUACGGGUGGCUGCAGUCGAGAAUCUUCGGCAAUGGGGGCAACCCUGACCGAGCGACGCCGCGUGCGGGACGAAGGCCUUCGGGUUGUAAACCGCUGUCAGUUGGGAGGAAGUGCCGGGGGGUUCUCCCCUCGGUUUGACCGAUCUUCAGAGGAAGGACGGGCUAAGUUCGUGCCAGCAGCCGCGGUAAGACGAACCGUCCAAACGUUAUUCGGUAUCACUGGGCUUAAAGCGUGCGUAGGCGGCCUGGUAGGUGAGGUGUGAAAGCCCACGGCUCAACCGUGGAAUUGCGCUUCAAACCACCAGGCUGGAGGAUGGCAGGGGUGAUGGGAACUGAUGGUGGAGCGGUGAAAUGCGUUGAUAUCAUCAGGAACACCGGUGGCGAAGGCGCAUCACUGGGCCAUUUCUGACGCUGAGGCACGAAAGCUAGGGUAGCGAACGGGAUUAGAUACCCCGGUAGUCCUAGCUGUAAACGAUGAGCACUGGGUUGAGGGGACCUCCACAUCUUCUCGGCCGUAGCGAAAGCGUUAAGUGCUCCGCCUGGGGAGUAUGGCCGCAAGGCUGAACUCAAAGGAAUUGACGG
rnacentral:rRNA from 1 species